UAAACUGAAAACAGGAUCAAUCAGGUACACCGGGUGAUAAGUUCCUUGGAAUAGGACAUCAUGGAGGGUGAGAAUCCCGUCUUUGACCCGAGUCUAGUAUCUUUUGUAUUGGCCUGUUCAAGAGUCAGGUUGUUUGGGAAUGCAGCCUAAAGCUGGAGGUAAAUCCCUCCUGAAGCUAAAUAAUGGCGAGAGACCGAUAGCGAACAAGUACCGUGAGGGAAAGAUGAAAAGAACUCUGAAGAGAGAGUUAAACAGUACGUGAAAUUGCUUAAAGGGAAGCAUAUAAAGCUAGGAUGCGAUUGUUUUCUUCAGGUUGAGCUUUGGCUUGACUGUUCAGAAGGAUAAUCCGAGACAACAAGAAUUGGAGGAGGAGAAUAAGCUGUUAGGGAAGGUAAUCCUUCGGGAUGUUUAUAGACCUGGCAGUUCGCGCUCUUCUUUCGAUUGAGGUACGCUUUUUUUAAAGGUUGUUGUCUGAAUGGCUUUAUAUGGCCCGUCUU
rnacentral:rRNA from 1 species